rnacentral:lncRNA from 1 species
UGCGAAUCAUAGACGGCGCGACAUCAUAGUCUUCCCUCAUGGCAGCCUUUUGGCGCGAAGAAAAGGAAAGUUUGAAAAAAUUACCAUAUCUUUGAACUGUUUUAAUAAAGCAAGAAAUUAUAUUGUGCAAAUCUGGAUGCAAGAUAAAGAAACUCUUUGAUUUUGUUCAUUCUACAUUAUUUAUCAGUUGAAGAUCUGUAGUAUGAUGACACCGUCGAUGGAAUGUUCGAUCAAAUCUUUCUGGGUCUUGUCCGUUAACAGGAGCACGGAGAUGUGAAGGCAUGGAAGUGGGGAUGAUGUCCUUAAAGAGGCACGGUAUUAAUCCUGGAGGACUACUUUGGUGGACGGACGUUGGAAGACAACUGAUUUCAGGUGUUUUUUCCGUUUUCUCUUGUUAUUCCUCUUGGGUUUUUUCCAUGAGGUCAGGUGGUUGUUGUUAAUGGUCUGGCGUCCAAUAUGAGCACUCUAUCGAAAGUUCCGGGUGACACAUCGCUGACUAGCUGGAUCCUCCUCAACAAGGAAACAACUCCGUGGGAAAUAAAUUUUAUGGCUUUUAGCCUAACUUGAUAAAACGCUCAAAGUUAAGAAUUUUUUUAAUAAUGAAAGUUUAAAAUAACACUUUAUGGGGAGUCUGUCCCUCACAUAUAUUUAAUAAUAUAUUAAUUUGUUUAGAGACAGAUUAACAACUUGCCUAUGAUAGAGAUUAAAGUAUAAAUAACUGGAAUUUUCAUUUUACUUUCAUCAUUGAAAAAAAACACUAUAUACAUCAUGAAAACAUUUAUCAUGGUUGAUUAGAUUUUUCUAUUAAUUAAAUAUUGAAAAAUUACUCUUCAAAGCUUUUCCUUAACAUAUGAUUAGUAGCAGUGGUUAUUUUUGUGUUACUUGAGUCAUUAUCAGUUCAGUUUAUGUUUAAUUCAUUUACCUUUCUUAUUUUGCUGACAAUUAAGUUAUCUCUAGGAAUGGAUCAUUUUCAUUUUUCUGCUAAUUCAGCUUUCUUUGGAAAUGAAAAUCCUUGUACUUUCGGUCCAGUCAGAUAGUUGCCUUUACGCAGGGGCGCCACUAGCUGUUUGAACGCCCGCGUGCAAUACCGAUUAUGUUGCCCCCUGUUUAACUACGAUUACUUAUGCUGAGCUUGCCAGAAAGGCUCUUUGCCGCCCCCUGGACGUGCCGCCCGCGUGCGGUGCACGUCUUGCACGCCCGCUUACGGCGGCCCUGCCUUUACAAUCGGUUAUACAGCACUUGUAUGGGCAUUUUGCAUGACCUUAUCACAUUUACAAAUCCCUAAUAUUUAUAAAAUGCUUUUGUAACACAGUCAACAAACAAAAAAACCCAAAUAUUCUAAGAAAAUUAUCCAAUAUUUCAAUUUAAUUACAAUAAUUGAAAGCAUGAGAACUUAACAGCAUAUGGCUACUAUUGUAAUAGACAACAAUUACCCCAUGAGCACUCAGGCCUGAUUAUGUAGGUGGCAUUAAUUAGUUUUACCUUUAACAUGGAGAAGACCUCAUGCGUCCACUUUUGUUAAAGACAUGGUAUGCACCUUGAUCCUGAAACUCACUGAAAUGGGAUUAAAAUUCCAAUAGUCAAUGAGGCCAUGGCUAUCAAGGCCUGUUCUUAGCUUCUUGAUCCCAUUGGAGUGUGUCAAGGCAGUUUCAUGAUAAUGUUGAUUAGGGGCUGUUACAGACCAUGGAAUAUCAUUUAUUACGUAUGAGUUAGAGUGGAAAAAAAUAAAAAAUAAUUUAUUGUCACACUUAUCUUUCAAAAGUCUAUGUCAUAUCUAUAAGACUGUGAUUUUAUUUAACUAUUCUUGAGAAAAUUUAUUAUUUUUUGCUAUUAAAAAUAUAAAAUAGUAAAAAUAUGCUUUACUCAAAAACUCAUUUGCACAUGUAUGAAGCCAACUGCAUUUAAAGGAAAAAAGCUUCAUUGUUUUUUUAAAGGAAUAAUUACAUAAUAGAUUAAGAUAUUUUUAAUAUCUUUCUUGUUACAGGUGUAUGGUUUGUUUACACUUUUAUUUAUCUUGUCACUAUUUUUUUGGCAGUGGUUAAGAAGUAAUAUUUUACAUAAUCUUGAAAUUAAUAGAUUGGUGAUUUCUUUUGGGUGAGUCUCCCUGCCACAUCCACAUUGAAGCCAAGGGAUGAGACACACACAAUGCUUUAGUUGCAUUCUCAAUUUAAACAAAAUUUUUUGUUGCAUUGGUAAUUUGUCUAUGUGAUUUUUCACAGCUAGGACCAUUCCAGUAAGUCUGAGUUGAGGAUAAUGGAAGCUUCUUGUCCUGAAAUCUAAUCAUGUCGUUUGUUGAUGAUGAUGUCUGGCUCUCUAUAAAAUUUUCUGUAGCCUGUCUGCAUUUGUGUGUCUAGCACAACAUGACACAGAUAGCCUGCUACUAUACCAGUGGCCCAGAAAAGUGAGAUAUAGGGAAAUAACAUUGAAAAUCAACCAAUAUAAAAUUACAACUGCCUGACUAUUUAAAAGGCUACUGAUGUUCAGCUUGCAUUAAUUAUGAAAAUUGAAACUUAUUGGUUCAAGAAUUAUUAAGUUUCAAUAGGUAAAUGUUAAAAACAAAAAAAAAUCUACUAAUCCAUGGAUAUAAAAAAGAAUUUAUUUUAAA